rnacentral:rRNA from 1 species
AGUGAACGCUGGCGGUAGGCCUAACACAUGCAAGUCGAACGGCAGCACAGUAAGAGCUUGCUCUUACGGGUGGCGAGUGGCGGACGGGUGAGGAAUACAUCGGAAUCUACUUUUUCGUGGGGGAUAACGUAGGGAAACUUACGCUAAUACCGCAUACGACCUACGGGUGAAAGCAGGGGAUCUUCGGACCUUGCGCGAUUGAACGAGCCGAUGUCGGAUUAGCUAGUUGGCGGGGUAAAGGCCCACCAAGGCGACGAUCCGUAGCUGGUCUGAGAGGAUGAUCCGCCACACUGGAACUGAGAAACGGUCCAGACUCCUACGGGAGGCAGCAGUGGGGAAUAUUGGACAAUGGGCGCAAGCCUGAUCCCGCCAUACCGCGUGGGUGAAGAAGGCCUUCGGGUUGUAAAGCCCUUUUGUUGGGAAAGAAAAGCAGCAGGUUAAUACCCCGCUGUUCUGACGGUACCCAAAGAAUAAGCACCGGCUAACUUCGUG